UAUAUUUUGAAGGAUGUUUCUUCUAAUGCCCUGGAAGAAUGAGAAGUUCUUUGAUGUAACAUUGCAUCCCAGAGUCCUCCCUGGAAUUAAGCUCCCCUUGUGCUGCGGAAACCUUCACUUCUUGGCUUCACGUGAACAUAAAGACCACGAAACCGCUUAAACGCAAAACCCACAACACAUUUUAAAGCCGUUUUGCUUCCUUCAUUGCUCUGUUCUCUGGACUACGGUCUCUUCUGAUAGCCCUGGUAGUGGAAGCCUGCUGAUGUUACUGAGCCUUACUUUCUGUGGAAAGAUCUGCAACUUGCACCAGGAAAAUUGUCAGCUGUGGAAGCAACCCCUCAAACUGGCUGUCAGAGACUCCGUGCUGGRCAGCAGGAUGCAGAAGUAACGGAGAGCAGAAAAGCUGUGAUUUGCUUGCCUGGAGAGGGUGGGAAAGCAGGUAGAGUAUGUGAUGGGAAUAAAGGAGAAGAACUGGAAAAGAACAGAAAUAACCUUUUACUUGGCCAUUUGGAGGAGGAAAAAAAAAGGCUAAUUUGAGCAAGACUGGAUGAACAGCCUUGUUGAAGCAGUAAUUAUUUAGGAACUUUGGGUUACAUUGCAUACUGAUCACAAUUCUCCAAGCAAAUGGACAAUAAAGCAUUAUCUUAAAAAUAGACCUAACAUUUGAAUAUAAAUGACAACUACUAAACUCAAUAGCAUGUGACUUAUUGUAUCUCUGCUUAAAUUUUGGAAAGUAUUAGGACAUGGCAACCUUCCUGGAAGCUA